GGCUCUGGAGUAUAUAUUACGUUGAAUUGCAAAUUCAAAGAAGUGGCUGAGCAGCUGCCAGGGCUU
rnacentral:tRNA from 1 species